CUGAUGUGGGCAUCCAGAGAGUUGCUCUCCUGGCUCUGUCCUGGUGGCGUACGGGAGCGUAGCCUUGAGCUAAGACGUACAUUCCCCUUCCACACCGUCAGAGACUAAGUUCUGUCCCCGGCUCAUAGCUGGUGAGGACGAACGUCCUGCAUAUUCCUACAGCUUCCCAGAGUCCUUUGGGACCGUUACUGGGGAGCCAAACCAUGCAGUGCACACUU